AGGCCAGACUCCUACGGGAGGCAGCAGUGGGGAAUAUUGCACAAUGGGGGGGACCCUGAUGCAGCAAUGCCGCGUGAAGGAUGAAGGCUUUCGGGUUGUAAACUUCUUUUAUCAGGGACGAAGCAAGUGACGGUACCUGAUGAAUAAGCCACGGCUAACUACGUGCCAGCAGCCGCGGUAAUACGUAGGUGGCAAGCGUUAUCCGGAUUUACUGGGUGUAAAGGGCGUGUAGGCGGGAGUGCAAGUCAGAUGUGAAAACUAUGGGCUCAACCCAUAGCCUGCAUUUGAAACUGUACUUCUUGAGUGCUGGAGAGGCAAUCGGAAUUCCGUGUGUAGCGGUGAAAUGCGUAGAUAUGCGGAGGAACACCAGUGGCGAAGGCGGAUUGCUGGACAGUAACUGACGCUGAGGCGCGAAAGCGUGGGGAGCAAACAGGAUUAGAUACCCCAGUA
rnacentral:rRNA from 1 species